UCGUAUAAAAUGGAGGUGCUCAGGCUGUCGCUGACCUUUGAAAAAGGGUUGUGCACGCCCGGAGCGCUCUCUCAUAUAUAUUCAUCUCACCCCUUUGUGCAUUGCCAUGUGGGUCCCCUUUUGGCUUGUUCCGAGGGGGUGACCUGCGUUUUUACAUAGACACCCUUUGAAUGCAUGUGUAGAACAUCUUACUUUUUGCAAUCACACGCAAUCAAUA
rnacentral:misc_RNA from 1 species